AAAACAACACAAAUCACAUUCAUUUUUUUGAAUGUGGAGUUGAGCCUUUUUCCCUCUUUCUUGUAGAGAGGGAUGGCUUGAAAUACAGAAGGCCGGUCUGGGUAAAACCAGAUGCCAGGACAGAUUUAAGAGUAAUAAUAGUUAAUGCGUUUUCGCGUUAUCCUUUUGCUCUGUGUCUGCCUUGGUGUGUCGGCCUGACACUUUCUUCUUGAAAAAGAGGGGAGGAAACACUGUAACUUGACGAAGGAGUAUCACUUCUUCCGACUU
rnacentral:misc_RNA from 1 species